ensembl:lncRNA
GCAGUGAUGAAAUGAUCGUAGCAGACCCUGUACUGACAGCUGUCUGGGUUCAGGUCUUAACGGGCAGAAAGGUUUCUGCGCUUUUCUGACAGUUCUUCAGUCUUAUCUCGGUGUUUCAUGAUAGCGGGGAAUCUGUAAACAUGUGUUUUCUCCGUUGUCUUUCUUCCCUUGUUAGAGCACACAGGGAAUGACAGUAGUGAAGAAUCAACUCGUUUUCGGCACCGUUAUUAUACAGUUUGGGGAAGCAACUCCGCUGCUGUCGGAAGAAUUAAUGCGCUGGUCUUCCAACAUGGCGGCCAGGAGGCGUCGUGUGUUAACUGCGAGCACUCUAUAGUUAAUGUUCUAUGUUUGAGCUGCUUUUGAAAGCUAAAGUCGAAUUGAAAACAUUAUUGACAUUGUUAAAUUCCAUUUUCAUAAUGGCAAGCUAGGAAUGAUGGUUUGGUUAGAUAAACUAGCGAGUCUGUUUGGUUACCACGGCUCCUACUGUAGCUAUCUAUCCAACUUAAACCCAUUUCGAGUGGUACAUGAACCCAUUUCUAGCGGAUGUUGAACCCAGUUCUAGUGGUAAAUGAACCCAGUUCUAGUGAUAAGAAAAGACAGUGGAAUGUCUAAACUAUCAUCAGAUCGACCCGAACGGAAGUGGCAGCUGCGGUGUAUUAGUUACGGAAACGUAAACGUCACCACAGAAGCGAACAGAGCAAAACGAGAGUUUCCAUUGGACAAAUUCAGGAAGGUCCAUCCCUGUUUCGUAUCCUGAAUGUUAUGCCACAUAAUUGGCGUAAUGAAAACGCCCCUGAAUAUCCAAACAGCAGACAUACAGUAGGGGACUUUUCCAGACCAGACUCGGCAGGGCAGACGUCUCUAAGGGUGUCAUCAGUGUCCGUGAAGGAGGACAACCUUUUAUUCCCCUCAGACAGACAUCUUUAUUUCCUUAUACCUGGUUAAUCUCUUCUGUCAUGGAGACCUAAAGUCCCCCAGGAGGGAUGUUCCAAUCGGGGGGAGAGGGCUGACCCGCCAUGCCCAGGGGGG